rnacentral:rRNA from 1 species
UACGUAGGGCGCAAGCGUUGUCCGGAAUUAUUGGGCGUAAAGAGCUCGUAGGCGGCUUGUCACGUCGGGUGUGAAAGCCCGGGGCUUAACCCCGGGUCUGCAUUCGAUACGGGCUAGCUAGAGUGUGGUAGGGGAGAUCGGAAUUCCUGGUGUAGCGGUGAAAUGCGCAGAUAUCAGGAGGAACACCGGUGGCGAAGGCGGAUCUCUGGGCCAUUACUGACGCUGAGUGAGCGAAAGCCAGGGGAGCAAACGGG